rnacentral:rRNA from 1 species
UACGGAGGGGGCUAGCGUUGUUCGGAAUUACUGGGCGUAAAGCGCACGUAGGCGGCUUUGCAAGUCAGAGGUGAAAAGCCCGGGGCUCAACCCCGGAAUUGCCUUUGAGACUGCAUCGCUAGAAUUGUGAAGAGGUAAGUGGAAUUCCGAGUGUAGAGGUGAAAUUCGUAGAUAUUCGGAAGAACACCAGUGGCGAAGGCGAUCACCUGGGGUUGUUCUGACGCUGAGGAGCG